CAGAAAAAAGGGAUUGGCCAGCGGCGCACUCCCCUAUCCCCAUCCCCAGAUUCCUCUCGCUUUCUCUCGUCCGCCGCUGCGGCCUCCACCGCCGACCUCCCCACACCGCCGCCACCUCCCACGCCCUCCCCAAAGGCUGAAGCUCCCACCCCUUCUCUCCUUCUCCUCACCAUCAGCGACUUGCACCGCCCCCCCUCCCGCACCAGAUCGGGCAGAAGGUGGGGACGUGAAUCAGGCUCAGAUCCGGCACGGCCAGAGCACUGGUUCCCGUUGAGAUGCCAUGGAUAAGGUGCUCUGGCCCUGGUGCUACAGCCAUGGAGAAGGUGCCCUCCCCAUCUCUCUUCUCUCUCUCUCUCUCGGAUUCGAUUUAAUUUCAGGUUGCCCACCCGACCCCGACCAACGAGACCUGGACUUAGUGCUAAUGCUCGUAGCAAUGAUACCCGGAAAACUAAAUGAUUGAAUGGGAGAAAAAGAAGGAACGAGCUUAGGAAUCAGCUUGGGGGUGGGAAAAGAAUGAUAAACACAUGUAAUUUUUAUAUGAGAUUCACACUUAAUUAUCAAGUCACAUUUGAACUCUAAGUGUUCUGUUUUCCAAAAUUCAGUAAACAAGUUUGUCCACCAGGCUCAGUGAAGGGGACCUUAGUUUGGGUGAUUGGAGGCUUACUAGAAUGAUGAAACAAGCUGACCUAAUAUAUAAUGAAGAUAAUCUAUUACAAAUACUCAAAGGGCUCGAGGCAAAGGGAAACUGAGGCAGGCUGUUGCUGUUACCGAGUGGGUGUACAAUGGAAAUAGUUACAAGCAUCGAAGAAGCAGGUAAUUUUCUGUUGAUGCAUUCAUUUGGUACUUAUUUCUUUCUUUCCAGCCACCGUAAGCAUAAUUUCAUGGUGCGAAAUUAUGCUGGAAUAUCAAUAACUUAACUAAUAUUUGCUCUGGUAAAUGUUUAUUACCGAUGUACUGUUCUAUUUGUACGAUGCAUCUUUUGUUAUCUUAGAGCAAUUGAUUGCCCAGAUUAGUUUCUAGGAUAAUCAGAUGGUAGCUUCUAUUAGCUGAUCCAUGAAAGGUUUCUAGGAUAAUCAGAUGGUAGCUUCUAUUAGCUGAUCCAUGAAAGGUUAAGUUUCCAUUUUUCACCUCUUCGGGCGUGGCAGUACUCUGGCGCACUACAACACCUGGCUGAUGCUCAUCUACAUCACCCAUUUGUCGCUCAGAAACAAAUAUGGGAGUACCAGCAAGGCCUUGGUUCUGAACCAGUCCAUAUCCGAGACAACAUUUGGGAAGGUGUCUGAUUUCAUUCAAUCUUUUGCAUCAUUUGCCAAGAAGGAUGAGCCUAGAGAGGUUGUGACGUUGCUGCCAAUGAGCCUUUGCUCUGAAAAAAAAUGCUUCUAUGCCAUGUGAUAUGAACGAUGUUGCACCACAAUGUUCUGUACAUUUAGCAUUCCGCCGUCCAUGGCAGCGAUUCCAGGAGCGAGCUCCAUCUCCUAUGAUGCUUCUCACAGCCCCAGCAUCCUCAUGGCAGGUCAGGUCUGCAUCACCGAGGUAUUCUGUUUCUGGUGAAAGGGCAGGUCUUCACUUCUGGAUUACUGCCUCCCUUCCCAAUUUACUUGCUAUGUGGAAGGUGGUUGCACUAUGGGGGACAGUGUCCAAGAGAGAGCCACUUAAAUGGUUAGAUGUUGAAGGCAACUGUACAUGUUUUAUUUCACUGUUUUUCAUCUUUUUCUGGAGAUGAUUUCAGUACUUUCUAUUACUGUGAUGUUAGAACCAAGAUGCAUGUGUCACAUGUGCCAUCAAUUGUGUAAUGAACUUUCUAUUGUGUU